rnacentral:rRNA from 1 species
CCUGGCUCCGUAUGAACGCUAGCUACAGGCUUAACACAUGCAAGUCGAGGGGCAGCAUGGUCUUAGCUUGCUAAGGCCGAUGGCGACCGGCGCACGGGUGAGUAACACGUAUCCAACCUGCCGUCUACUCUUGGACAGCCUUCUGAAAGGAAGAUUAAUACAAGAUGGCAUCAUGAGUCCGCAUGUUCACAUGAUUAAAGGUAUUCCGGUAGACGAUGGGGAUGCGUUCCAUUAGAUAGUAGGCGGGGUAACGGCCCACCUAGUCUUCGAUGGAUAGGGGUUCUGAGAGGAAGGUCCCCCACAUUGGAACUGAGACACGGUCCAAACUCCUACGGGAGGCAGCAGUGAGGAAUAUUGGUCAAUGGGCGAGAGCCUGAACCAGCCAAGUAGCGUGAAGGAUGACUGCCCUAUGGGUUGUAAACUUCUUUUAUAAAGGAAUAAAGUCGGGUAUGGAUACCCGUUUGCAUGUACUUUAUGAAUAAGGAUCGGCUAACUCCGUGCCAGCAGCCGCGGUAAUACGGAGGAUCCGAGCGUUAUCCGGAUUUAUUGGGUUUAAAGGGAGCGUAGAUGGAUGUUUAAGUCAGUUGUGAAAGUUUGCGGCUCAACCGUAAAAUUGCAGUUGAUACUGGAUAUCUUGAGUGCAGUUGAGGCAGGCGGAAUUCGUGGUGUAGCGGUGAAAUGCUUAGAUAUCACGAAGAACUCCGAUUGCGAAGGCAGCCUGCUAAGCUGCAACUGACAUUGAGGCUCGAAAGUGUGGGUAUCAAACAGGAUUAGAUACCCUGGUAGUCCACACGGUAAACGAUGAAUACUCGCUGUUUGCGAUAUACAGCAAGCGGCCAAGCGAAAGCGUUAAGUAUUCCACCUGGGGAGUACGCCGGCAACGGUGAAACUCAAAGGAAUUGACGGGGGCCCGCACAAGCGGAGGAACAUGUGGUUUAAUUCGAUGAUACGCGAGGAACCUUACCCGGGCUUAAAUUGCAGAUGAAUUACGGUGAAAGCCGUAAGCCGCAAGGCAUCUGUGAAGGUGCUGCAUGGUUGUCGUCAGCUCGUGCCGUGAGGUGUCGGCUUAAGUGCCAUAACGAGCGCAACCCUUGUUGUCAGUUACUAACAGGUUCCGCUGAGGACUCUGACAAGACUGCCAUCGUAAGAUGUGAGGAAGGUGGGGAUGACGUCAAAUCAGCACGGCCCUUACGUCCGGGGCUACACACGUGUUACAAUGGGGGGUACAGAGGGCCGCUACCACGCGAGUGGAUGCCAAUCCCAAAAACCUCUCUCAGUUCGGACUGGAGUCUGCAACCCGACUCCACGAAGCUGGAUUCGCUAGUAAUCGCGCAUCAGCCACGGCGCGGUGAAUACGUUCCCGGGCCUUGUACACACCGCCC